AGCAGUCGCCGCGGUAAUACGUAGGUGGCAAGCGUUGUCCGGAAUUAUUGGGCGUAAAGCGCGCGCAGGUGGUUUAAUAAGUCUGAUGUGAAAGCCCACGGCUCAACCGUGGAGGGUCAUUGGUAACUGUUAAACUUGAGUGCAGGAGAGAAAAGUGGAAUUCCUAGUGUAGCGGUGAAAUGCGUAGAGAUUAGGAGGAACACCAGUGGCGAAGGCGGCUUUUUGGCCUGUAACUGACACUGAGGCGCGAAAGCGUGGGGAGCAAACAGGAUUAGAUACCCGGGUAGUCCCUGUCUCUUAUAC
rnacentral:rRNA from 1 species